GGCGGGGGGGGGGGGCGGGCGUGGCGCGGGCGGGGCGGGCGGUCGGGCCGCGGCGGGGGUGCGCGCGCGGCGACCGGGCGCGUGACCCGUGGGUGCCCUGCCCUCCGCUCUGGGCUACGCCUGGGAAACUGGGUCUACUACCGGCUAUGACCUUUCCUCGCAUGGCGGUUGGCGGGAAGUGUUUUCGGCUGGGGAUGGGCCCGCGGCCUGUCAGCUUGUUGGUGGGGUGAUGGCCUACCAAGGCGACGACGGGUAGCCGGCCUGAGAGGGCGACCGGCCACACUGGGACUGAGGCACGGCCCAGACGCCGACGGGAGGCAGCAGUGGGGGAUAUUGCGCAAUGGGCGGGAGCCUGACGCAGCGACGCCGCGUGGGGGAUGACGGCCUUCGGGUUGUAAACCUCUUUCGACCCCGACGAAUUUGGACGGUAGGGGUAGAAGAAGCACCGGCCAACUACGUG
rnacentral:rRNA from 1 species